rnacentral:rRNA from 1 species
GACGAACGCUGGCGGCGUGCCUAAUACAUGCAAGUAGAAAGCAGUUGCGAACGGGUGAGUAACGCGUAGGUAAAUGCCUCAUAGCGGGGGAUAACUAAUGGAAACGAUAGCUAAUACCGCUUACUGUGAGAUGGAACUGCGUUGAAUGAGCUAGUUGUUGAGGUAAAGGCUAACCAAGGCGACGAUACAUAGCCGACCUGAGAGGGUGUUCAGCCACACUGGGACUGAGACACGGCCCAGACUCCUACGGGAGGCAGCAGUAGGAAAUCUACGGCAAUGGACGGAAGUCUGACCGAGCAACGCAGCGUGAGUGAAGACGGUUUUCGGAUCGUAAAGCUCUUUUGUUAGAGAAGCGGUGACUAACCAGAAAGGGACGGCUAACUACGUGCCAGCAGCCGCGGUAAUUG